UUCCAUUUAAUAUCCGUACCCCCCUGUCGAGGAUUCCUGGAAUUCUUCAGGGGUAAAGGGUUUUGAGCUUGGAAUUCUUCAGGGGUAAAGGGUUUUGAGCUUGGAAUUCUUCAGGGGCAAAGUGUUUUGAGGUUGGAAUUCUUCAGGGGUAAAGGGUUUUGAGCUUGGAAUUAUUCAGGGGUAAAGGAUUUUGAGCUUGGAAUUCUUCAGGGGUAAGGAGGUUUGAUUUGAAAUUUUUCAGAGCUUGGAAUUCUUCAGGGGUAGAGGGUUUUCAGCUUGGAAUUCUUCAGGGGUAAAAGGUUUUCAGCUUGGAAUUUUUCAGGGGUAAAGGGUUUUGAGCUUGGAAUU